AUGACAGAAUCAGGUGGGGCGCUGCCGGCGAGUCUUAAUCGAUCUACCACAUGCGAUGAUGGGGGAGUAGCUAGCCAGAAGGCAGAUCCAGCCGGCCGUGGAGCUACUCUGGUUCUUUCCAAAAGGAAAUUACCAGCAGUUCGAAAACGGAAAGGGAUGAACCAAAAAGAAACACCACAGAGUUUACGUGAGCCUGGGAAAGAAAGUAUUGAACUGAAGGAAUCAUCUGGGGUUUGCGAUGUGAUGCUUGAAUUUGACCAAUUUGUGCAGUACCAUGAGAUGAAGAAGAAAACAGAGGAAUUUGUUAGUAGUCAAGACAAAAUUGUGAGCCAAGGAACACUCAGUAGCAGCCAGGAAGAAGACCAGCGAACUCAGAUCGAAAAAAAAUGA
rnacentral:rRNA from 1 species